GUGAGUAGCAAACUGCGUGUACAAUUUCUGCGUGUACAAUUUUUAACAUAACGACUAUUUUUCAUUCUUUAUCACAUAAUUUUCAUUUGCUCACAUCAGCUCAUAUUUGUGUCUAAUAAAAUCCAAAAAUAGGUGGCCGAUGUAUCCUGGUGUAUUUAAAUCAAUUUAAAUUAACCUCAAAAUGGAAGACACUAAAUCAUUUUUCUUAUCGGUUACUCAACGUAUUUUUAGUAACUGGACAGCUUUAAAGUUGGCGGUAGAACAUGGUAUGGGUUCAGUAGAAAAAGCAAUAGAAUUUUGUCCAUAUACAACGGAAGUACUCUAUAUGAAUGAGGGAUUGACCAGUGAUCAGAUUGCUGCCGAAUUAGAGGAUUAUAUGGAUGAACAACUUAAUACAAUAUUGGAAGAUAACAGCACUGUACAAGUAGCAGAGGAAUUGUUAAGGUUUUAUCGAUAUUGCAUAGAGGGCAAUGAAUCUACAGCAAAAACAGAACUCGAGAAAUUACCACCGCUACAACCUUGGCUUAUCUGUGAACGACCUAUUCGAUCUACUCGUUCUUUGCCAGUACAACAAGAUAGCAGUUCGGAUGAGGAUAUGGAUGUAGAUAAAAAUGAACAAGAAGACGAUGGAUGGACAGUGGUUACAAACAGGCGAAGCAGAUAACUCUCAACUUUGUAUAAAAGAUAUCUUUACUUAGUGCUUUUCUUCUUCACACAUGUGUACAUCAAUUAUAUUUUUAAUAGAGAGCAUUAUGAUUUAUACCCUGAAGAAAGUCAUGAAAACGUAAGCUUGGCUGAAACCUAGCAGGACGAAGGCGAAGAAUGUGCUCAGGCCACCGUUCAACACUGCUGGUCCGAUAACGUUGAGCGUUGUCAAUGCUCGUUCUAUGAAAUAAGAAAUAAUAUAAUAGUUUUCAAUCUAA